AUUGAACGCUGGCGGCAGGCCUAACACAUGCCAGUCGAACGGUAACAGGAAGAAGCUUGCUUCUUUGCUGACGAGUGGCGGACGGGUGAGUAAUGUCUGGGAAACUGCCUGAUGGAGGGGGAUAACUACUGGAAACGGUAGCUAAUACCGCAUAAUGUCGCAAGACCAAAGAGGGGGACCUUCGGGCCUCUUGCCAUCGGAUGUGCCCAGAUGGGAUUAGCUAGUAGGUGGGGUAACGGCUCACCUAGGCGACGAUCCCUAGCUGGUCUGAGAGGAUGACCAGCCACACUGGAACUGAGACACGGUCCAGACUCCUACGGGAGGCAGCAGUGGGGAAUAUUGCACAAUGGGCGCAAGCCUGAUGCAGCUAUGCCGCGUGUAUGAAGAAGGCCUUCGGGUUGUAAAGUACUUUCAGCGGGGAGGAAGGGAGUAAAGUUAAUACCUUUGCUCAUUGACGUUACCCGCAGAAGAAGCACCGGCUAACUCCGU
rnacentral:rRNA from 1 species